rnacentral:rRNA from 1 species
ACGGAGGGAGCUAGCGUUAUUCGGAAUUACUGGGCGUAAAGCGCACGUAGGCGGCUUUGUAAGUAAGAGGUGAAAGCCCAGAGCUCAACUCUGGAAUUGCCUUUUAGACUGCAUCGCUUGAAUCAUGGAGAGGUCAGUGGAAUUCCGAGUGUAGAGGUGAAAUUCGUAGAUAUUCGGAAGAACACCAGUGGCGAAGGCGGCUGACUGGACAUGUAUUGACGCUGAGGUGCGAAAGCGUGGGGAGCAAACAGG